rnacentral:rRNA from 1 species
UACGUAUGGAGCAAGCGUUAUCCGGAUUUACUGGGUGUAAAGGGAGCGCAGGCGGCUUUGCAAGUCUGAUGUGAAAGGCCGGGGCUCAACCCCGGGACUGCAUUGGAAACUGUAAAGCUAGAGUGCCGGAGAGGUAUGCGGAAUUCCUAGUGUAGCGGUGAAAUGCGUAGAUAUUAGGAGGAACACCGGUGGCGAAGGCGGCCUGCUGGACUGUGACUGACGUUGAGGCCCGAAGGCGUGGGGAGCAAACAGG